rnacentral:tRNA from 1 species
GAUUAGAGAGCUUGUAAAAAGCAUCUGGCUUUUAAUCAGAAGAAAUCAUCUUGAUUCUAAUCA